CAGUAGCCACGGUAAUACGAAGGGGGCUAGCGUUGUUCGGAAUUACUGGGCGUAAAGGGCGCGUAGGCGGCGGCCAAAGUCAGGCGCGAAAUUCCCGGGCUCAACCUGGGGGCUGCGUUUGAUACUUGGUUGCUUGAGAAUGGGAGAGGUGAGUGGAAUUUCCGGUGUAGCGGUGAAAUGCGUAGAUAUCGGAAGGAACACCUGUGGCGAAAGCGGCUCACUGGACCAUUUCUGACGCUGAUGCACGAAAGCUAGGGGAGCAAACAGGAUUAGAUACCCGCGUAGUCCCUGUCUCUUAUAC
rnacentral:rRNA from 1 species